AUUGAACGCUGGCGGCAGGCCUAACACAUGCAAGUCGAACGAGUCGCGGACGGGUGAGUAAUGUCUGUGAAACUGCCCGAUGGCGGGGGAUACCUACUGGCACCGGUAGCUAAUACCGCAUACCAUCGUUUGUGCCCAGAUGGGAUUAGCUAGUAGGUGGUGUAACGGCGCACCUAGGCGACGAUCCCUAGAGGGUCUGAGAGGAUGACCAGAGACACGGGAACUGAGACAAGGGCCAUAUGCCGACGGGAGGAAGCAGGGGGGAAUAUGGCACAAUGGGCGAAAGCCUGAGGGAGCCAUGCAGCGUGUAUGAAGAAGGCCUGCGGGUUGUAAAGUACGUGGAGCGAGGAGGCGUUACUCGCAGAAGAAGCACAGGCUAACUCCGUGCCAGCAGCCGUGGUAAUUC
rnacentral:rRNA from 1 species